CCUACGGGUGGCUGCAGUGAGGAAUAUUGGUCAAUGGGCGCAAGCCUGAACCAGCCACGUCGCGUGGGGGAAGACGGCCCUACGGGUUGUAACCCCCUUUUGCAGGGGAGCAAGCCUCAGCACGUGUGCCCCGGCGGACAGUACCCGGCGAAAAAGCAUCGGCUAACUCGGUGCCAGCAGCCGCGGUAAUACGGGGGACGCGGCCGUUCUCCGGCUUUAUUGGGUUAAAAGGGUGGGCGGGGGGGCUGUUAAGCCGGCGGUAAAAAUUCAGGUCUAAACCCGGUCGAGCCGUCGGAACUGGCAGUCUGGAGUGGGCGAGAAGUAGGCGGAAUGCGUGGUGUAGCGGUGAAAUGCAUAGAUAUCACGCAGAACGCCGAUUGCGAAGGCAGCAUACCGGCGCACAACUGACGCUGAGGCACGAAAGCGUGGGGAUCGAACAGGAUUAGAUACCCGAGUAGUC
rnacentral:rRNA from 1 species